AAACCAACCGGGAUUGCCUUAGUAACGGGGAGUGAAGCGGCAAAAGCUCAAAUUUGAAAUGUGGUACCUUCGGUUCCCGAGUUGUAAUUUGAGGGGGGUGAUUAGGGGGCCGUCGGCCCAAUUUCCUUGGAACCGGCGCUUAGAGAGGAGAGAAUCCUCGGGG
rnacentral:rRNA from 1 species